GGUCAGUGGGAGCAACAGCAUGCUUGGCACAGCAGCAUGGGGUGCACAUUCCGCAGCGGGUGGGCACCAGGGGCCCCGAAGCUUUCUACAUCUUGUUCGGCCUCAUUUUCCACGGUGCCCUGUGUCCAACUCCAAACCCCAAAGGCUCUGAAGACCAAAGCUGUUUUGCAUUUGUGGUUUUGCACGUGGGGGAACUCGUUUGGCAGAGGAAGCAGAGCUGAAGACAAAACCCACUUGGUGCGGAUCGGUGUUUUCUUGUGGGGAGGAGUAGAACUGGGGAGGAAACCCAGGCCUCGCGGUGGGCAGCACCCCACUCCUUUCUGUUUUUCCUUUUCUUUCUGUUCUUUUGAGACAAGAUUCUGCUACAUAGUCCAGGCCGGCCUUGAACUAGUGAGGGGUCCUUCUGCCUCAGCCUCCUGAGUACUAGGAUUACAGGCACACAACACGCCCGGCUUAUUUUCUUUUGACAAGGUCUCACUGAAUUCCCCAGACAAGACUCAAACUUGACACCCUCCUGCCUCAGCCUCCCUCAGUGCUGGGUUAAUAAGUGUGCGCACUACCACACCCAGCUAGAACCUGUGUUUCCUUUAAGAUUUUUCAGGGUGGAUAAAUGGGUCUUUGUGUGGAGGAAAAAGUGGGGCGACUUUAAUGACUGACUUGUUCUCCUACCUCCUGCGGGCUCUCAGUUGGUUUAGUGCAUUCUCCAGCCGACUAGGAGCCUGUGCGCCUCUCACACAAGUGCUCAGGCCCCUCAAGCAGCAGCUCGGCCCUCUCUAUGUCUGCAGCUCUCCACGGCUUAGCUCUGUGGCUCCUGCCCCACCCCACUGGUCUGCGCCCCUGCUGUUCCGUCCUCAGCCUCUCGAUCACUCUAGUGCCCCGUCCCCUCUGCUGCCCACCUGAUCCAUCACAGCGGGACACACUGCCCCGUGACAGCUGUGACGAAGCUGCAGCCUGCCAUGCCCACGUGGGUUCAGUCUCUGGACGCGGAGGCACUGGGAGUGAAGCACGCUUCCCAUGGUAACCUGGUAAACUUCCUCUUCACCUCCUGCUGCAACCCCGCCGAGGUCCGGCCCUUGAGCUCCAGCUCCCCUGUGCUUUCCCGGUUGAGGACCAGCCAGGCUCACCAUGCAGGGCGGGGGCCACAGGUGCCUGGCGUGUCUACUCCUCCACGCGGGGAUGCAGGGCAGGAGUCGCUUUGUCCUGGGUCCUACCACCACUGGGACGUGCGUGGAGAGAAUCUGCCUGCUGACUGUCACUGUCCCCUCCCCCAUCUCCUUCUAGUACUGGGGGUUGAACUCAAGGCCUUCACACUGAGAGGCUCCAGGCCAGGUGGGAAAAACACCGGGCAGAGGAGGAGUGGAGGCCCAUCCUGUUCUCCAUAUGCCAGACCCAGGACCUCCCAGUCUCUGUGGCAGAUGGGGCCGAAGAACCAGGAAGCCCCCAGCAGCCUGCAGCUCUGACACCACCUCCUCCAGGGGCUGCAGCUGCCUGGGGUCUUGGGGCAUGUGUGUGGGCCUGGGCUGAGCUGGAGAGCAUCUGGGUGAUCCCCCUUCCCCAGCCCUCAUGCCCUGGAGCACAACACUUCAGGGCCAUGGCUGCAGGGCCAGUGCUAGGAUGAGACGGGUCACCUGUCACACCUGGUGGGCACACCUGCUGGAGAGUGUGGGAAGGCUGGGGAGGGUCCGCAUUCUGGGCCUCCUCAUCUGAAGUGUCAUGUUCACGUGGCUGACUCAUCCAGGCCAGGGGUGGCUGCAGGAAAGAGUCCCUGCCCCUGCCCAGUGGUCAGGCAAAAGGUCGGGGCUGGCUGCCUCUCCCACCUGCCUGCAUUGGCAUCUCUGGAGCCACACUGCCCCCUGCUGCUGCCAGUGGAGGUGGCAGGAGCUGCUAGUCAGGCGGUUCCAGCUGCCCCUGGUGCCCUGGUGAGCACAAGGGAAACCAGGUGGGCUCACGGCUGGAGCUCGGCCACUGCCAGCCAGGUCCUCUGUCCCCAAGGCGAGGGUGGCCAAGGCCAAGGUCAGGGCUGCAGGCAGGAAGACCCCCGCCCCAGCAGUCAGAGGCUUGGGGGCUCAGCCAUACCUCUGGAAAGGGGCUGCAACCCCCAGCCCCUCUGCCCACUGCCUGUGGAACCAGGGUUGACUACUGGCCAGUGGACUGCUGGUCCAGGUCCUCGGGACUGCAGGGGCCUGGGCAGCCAGCAGCACGCCCCCCCAGCAGCUCCUCUGAUCUGCUGUUUGUGUCCAUCUGUCUGUCCAUAAUUUUGAAUGCCCAAGACUUUUGAAACAGACUUGGCAAGUGAAGAUUCUUUUUGUGUCUGUAGGGAGUAUCCGGGGCUCUGAACAAAGGCAGCGUUUCCCACCCCCGCAGCACCACUGGGGCUUCCUGCACUGUGCCCCCAUGGCCACCAGAGGGCGGGCGGUGGCCUGGACACUGGGACAGGUGUCCUAGGCAGGGAUGUGGG
ensembl:lncRNA